rnacentral:rRNA from 1 species
GACGAACGCUGGCGGCGUGCUUAACACAUGCAAGUCGAGCGGGAUCCAACCGGUGGCAACACCGGGGAAGAUCUAGCGGCGAACGGGUGAGUAACACGUGAGCAACCUGCCCCGAAGACUGGGAUAACACCGGGAAACCGGUGCUAAUACCGGAUGUCGUCAUUAGGCCGCAUGACCUGAUGAUGAAAGGAUUCAUCGCUUCGGGAGGGGCUCGCGGGCUAUCAGCUUGNGGUGGGGUAACGGCCUACCAAGGCGACGACGGCUAGCUGGUCUGAGAGGACGACCAGCCACACUGGGACUGAGACACGGCCCAGACUCCUACGGGAGGCAGCAGUGGGGAAUCUUGCGCAAUGGGCGAAAGCCUGACGCAGCAACGCCGCGUGGGGGAUGAAUGCC